rnacentral:rRNA from 1 species
UGCGUAGGCGGCUAGGUAAGUCACGUGUGAAAGGCCGGGGCUCAACCCCGGAUCUGCAUGUGAGACUGUCUGGCUCGAGCAUGGUAGAGGCGGGCGGAAUUCCUGGUGUAGCGGUGGAAUGCGUAGAGAUCAGGAAGAACACCGGUGGCGAAGGCGGCUCGCUGGGCCAUUGCUGACGCUGAGGCACGAAAGCGUGGGGAGCAAACAGGAUUAGAUACCCUGGUAGUCCACGCCCUAAACGAUGGACACUAGGCGUCGGGGGGAGCGACCCUCCCGGUGCCGUCGCUAACGCAAUAAGUGUCCCGCCUGGGGAGUACGGCCGCAAGGCUGAA